rnacentral:rRNA from 1 species
GCAGCAGUGGGGAACAUUGGACAAUGGAGGCAACAUCUGAUCCAGCCAUGCCGCGUGCAGGAAGACUGCCCUAUGGGUUGUAAACUGCUUUUAUACAGGCAAGAGAUGUACCUACGAUGUAGGAUAUUUGCACGGUACUGUAAGAAAAGGAUCGGCUAACUCCGUGCCAGCAGCCGCGGUAAU